rnacentral:rRNA from 1 species
ACUAGAUCCCAUCAAAACUCUGUAGUUAAGCACGCUUGGGCUAGAGUAGUACUGGGAUGGGUGACCUCUCAGGAAGUCCUAGUGUUGCACCCU